rnacentral:tRNA from 1 species
GCCCAGUGGGGUAACGGCAUCCCACCGGACCUUGACUCCGGGGAUGGCGGUUCGAAUCCGCCCUGGGCCG